rnacentral:rRNA from 1 species
UACGAAGGGUGCAAGCGUUAAUCGGAAUUACUGGGCGUAAAGCGUGCGUAGGCGGUUUGUUAAGUCUGCUGUGAAAUCCCCGGGCUCAACCUGGGAAUGGCAGUGGAUACUGGCAAGCUAGAGUGUGUCAGAGGAUGGUGGAAUUCCCGGUGUAGCGGUGAAAUGCGUAGAGAUCGGGAGGAACAUCAGUGGCGAAGGCGGCCAUCUGGGACAACACUGACGCUGAGGAGCGAAAGCAUGGGGAGCGAACAGG